UUAGAGUAUUUCCAACAGGGUUAGUGAUUCCCUCUUGCUAAGAUGUGUCACUAUUCAGUUGGGGAGUGUUAUCAUCAAGUGGAUUUGAUGUCCCACCUAUAGUUCCUUGAGUAUUCUUCAUUCGUCGUGGAGGCAUAUUGACCUAUGAUAAAUUGGGAUGAUAACUUAUCCUUAAUAAAGUUAUAAACUUACUUAAAGUAGGUCACAUCAUAAUCAUCAUAAACUAACCUCUAAAUUUUUCUAAUAUUUAUCCAUCACUCACUCA
rnacentral:lncRNA from 1 species